rnacentral:tRNA from 1 species
UGAUAAAAAAAGGACUCUAACCUUUAUUAUAGGGGCUACAAUCCUACACCUACUUCGGCCAUUUUACCA